UUUGGUUUAGAAUUAGGAUUGGAUUAGGAUUUAAAAUUUGGUUAGACUUUAGGGUUGGACUAGGAUUUAGAAUUUGGUUAGGAAUUGAUUAGGAUUUAAGAUUCGACCCAUAAUUUUAUUGAAGUCCAUUAGGGUUCCAAUUAGGAUUAAAUUAGGACUUAGUUGAGAUUUAUUUAAGACAUAUUUGUGAUUAUUUUAAUAUUUCUUUAGGAUUUCUUAAAGAUUCUUUUAAGAUUUAUUGUAGAUUACUUUUGAAUUUUUUUAAGAUUUUGUAUUAUUUCUUUUGUAAUUUCUUUAAUAUUUCUUUUAAAUUUUAUUAAAGCUUGUUUAGCAUUAUUAAGGUUUAAUUAGAGUUAUUUAAUAUUCUAUUAGAGUUAAAAUUUUGUUGUUGUAAUUUCCAUUCUAUCUUCCACAGCCAAGUGCUCGGUGUGUUUUCAAGCAAAGUUCACGUAAUCUGACUAUGCCUUGA
rnacentral:lncRNA from 1 species